UAAUAAUCGGAAUGGCGCAGUAUUCUAGUUAGCACUGCAUUUUUGAAGGCGUGCCUAAAAAUACGUCGAACGGCAAAUCGAUGAAGCUUCUGGUGCUUGCUUUGUACGCCCAGUGCAGGGUGGGUGCUGGGAGAUAUAGGACUGCGGGCGACCCCAAUGGCAUGGGGCAAGCGUCCCUCUUUCCUUGGAGGCUUUUUCCUGUGGCCGACCGCGGUUAUACUGGCGCGGGGCUACGGGAUUAAGAUUAGACCUAUCAUGCGGUACAGACCAUAGACUGAUGCUGUGGAUAGAUGUAGCCGGCCUUGAGUGGGCAUGGCGGAUAGCGUUCAGGUCGGGAGAGUGUAGCUAACUGUCCCGAAUAAUAGCGCUUGAAAUCAUGUCUGCAAAAGAGGAUAAAAGAAUGUUCUGCUGCUAUUGAGGAAAUCUCCUAGACUGUUGUUCCCGCUGGGGGAACUGGCAUGGGACGGAUUACAGUGCGGACUCAUAGGCAAUCAAGUCGCGGAUGCGGUAACGCUCCGACCCGGCCUUUAAUGGGGAACCGCUUUAUCGGCGACGAGAAGCAGGCCGCGGGGAAACCCUACUUGACCGUAAGCCGCAAGGUCUACGCUCCGUGCCGCCAUUUUUUCAU
rnacentral:sRNA from 1 species